UCCCGCCCCGUGAAAAGUCGCCUACUGUGGCGGCCUGCCCCCGUCUGGUUUGGAAGGCGGUCGGGCUAGCAGGGCAGGUUGCG
rnacentral:ncRNA from 1 species